rnacentral:rRNA from 1 species
GAUGAACGCUGGCGGCGUGCCUAAUACAUGCAAGUCGAGCGAACAGACGAGGAGCUUGCUCCUUUGACGUUAGCGGCGGACGGGUGAGUAACACGUGGAUAACCUACCUAUAAGACUGGGAUAACUUCGGGAAACCGGAGCUAAUACCGGAUAACAUGUUGAACCGCAUGGUUCAAUAGUGAAAGACGGUCUUGCUGUCACUUAUAGAUGGAUCCGCGCCGCAUUAGCUAGUUGGUAAGGUAACGGCUUACCAAGGCAACGAUGCGUAGCCGACCUGAGAGGGUGAUCGGCCACACUGGAACUGAGACACGGUCCAGACUCCUACGGGAGGCAGCAGUAGGGAAUCUUCCGCAAUGGGCGAAAGCCUGACGGAGCAACGCCGCGUGAGUGAAGAAGGUCUUCGGAUCGUAAAACUCUGUUAUUAGGGAAGAACAAAUGUGUAAGUAACUAUGCACGUCUUGACGGUACCUAAUCAGAAAGCCACGGCUAACUACGUG